GCGGAAGUGUCGGAAUUGGCAGACGAGCAAGACUAAGGAUCUUGUGCAUACUACUUGCGUGCGGGUUCAAGUCCCGCCUUCCGCA
rnacentral:tRNA from 1 species